UGCAGUCGAGGGGUAGAGUAGCAAUACUUGAGACCGGCGCACGGGUGCGUAACGCGUAUGCAACCUACCUUUUACAGGAGAAUAGCCCAGAGAAAUUUGGAUUAAUGCCCCAUGGUAUAUUUUAGUGGCAUCACUAGAUUAUUAAAGUUCCAACGGUAAAAGAUGGGCAUGCGUCCUAUUAGCUAGAUGGUAAGGUAACGGCUUACCAUGGCUACGAUAGGUAGGGGUCCUGAGAGGGAGAUCCCCCACACUGGUACUGAGACACGGACCAGACUCCUACGGGAGGCAGCAGUGAGGAAUAUUGGACAAUGGGCGCAAGCCUGAUCCAGCCAUGCCGCGUGCAGGAAGAAGCAUCUAUGGUGUGUAAACUGCUUUUGUACGGGAAGAAACACCUCUACGUGUAGAGGCUUGACGGUACCGUAAGAAUAAGGAUCGGCUAACUCCGUGCCAGCAGCCGCGGUAAUACGGAGGAUCCAAGCGUUAUCCGGAAUCAUUGGGUUUAAAGGGUCCGUAGGCGGUUUGGUAAGUCAGUGGUGAAAGCCCUUCGCUCAACGGAGGAACGGCCAUUGAUACUGCCAGACUUGAAUUACUGGGAAGUAACUAGAAUAUGUAGUGUAGCGGUGAAAUGCUUAGAUAUUACAUGGAAUACCAAUUGCGAAGGCAGGUUACUACCGGUGGAUUGACGCUGAUGGACGAAAGCGUGGGGAGCGAACAGGAUUAGAUACCCUGGUAGUCCACGCCGUANACGAUGGAUACUAGCUGUUGGGAGCAAUCUCAGUGGCUAAGCGAAAGUGAUAAGUAUCCCACCUGGGGAGUACGUUCGCAAGAAUGAAACU
rnacentral:rRNA from 1 species